rnacentral:hammerhead_ribozyme from 1 species
GCAUUGCUGAGGAGUCCCACAACGGGACGAAGUGGCCGUCCAGUGC